GGGCAGGACGGGGUGCUAUACAUGCAGUCGAGCGGACAGAUGGGAGCUUGCUCCCUGAUGUUAGCGGCGGACGGGUGAGUAACACGUGGGUAACCUGCCUGUAAGACUGGGAUAACUCCGGGAAACCGGGGCUAAUACCGGAUGGUUGUUUGAACCGCAUGGUUCAAACAUAAAAGGUGGCUUCGGCUACCACUUACAGAUGGACCCGCGGCGCAUUAGCUAGUUGGUGAGGUAAUGGCUCACCAAGGCAACGAUGCGUAGCCGACCUGAGAGGGUGAUCGGCCACACUGGGACUGAGACACGGCCCAGACUCCUACGGGAGGCAGCAGUAGGGAAUCUUCCGCAAUGGACGAAAGUCUGACGGAGCAACGCCGCGUGAGUGAUGAAGGUUUUCGGAUCGUAAAGCUCUGUUGUUAGGGAAGAACAAGUACCGUUCGAAUAGGGCGGUACCUUGACGGUACCUAACCAGAAAGCCACGGCUAACUACGUGCCAGCAGCCGCGGUAAUACGUAGGUGGCAAGCGUUGUCCGGAAUUAUUGGGCGUAAAGGGCUCGCAGGCGGUUUCUUAAGUCUGAUGUGAAAGCCCCCGGCUCAACCGGGGAGGGUCAUUGGAAACUGGGGAACUUGAGUGCAGAAGAGGAGAGUGGAAUUCCACGUGUAGCGGUGAAAUGCGUAGAGAUGUGGAGGAACACCAGUGGCGAAGGCGACUCUCUGGUCUGUAACUGACGCUGAGGAGCGAAAGCGUGGGGAGCGAACAGGAUUAGAUACCCUGGUAGUCCACGCCGUAAACGAUGAGUGCUAAGUGUUAGGGGGUUUCCGCCCCUUAGUGCUGCAGCUAACGCAUUAAAGCACUCCGCCUGGGGAGUACGGUCGCAAGACUGAAACUC
rnacentral:rRNA from 1 species